UCAAAACAUGUUCAUAUAACAAUAAUAGAAUCAAGUAUGAUCAAAACAUCUAAUUUACAUCAAAGUAAAGUAAAAUGCGGAACAACGUGGUAUGUGCAAUGCGAUCAUCCCGAGAUUUUCCCCUUGGAUCCAGAAGUACCUGAAACAUAAACUGAAAACCGUAAGCACGACGCUUAGUGAGUUCCUCAAAAUACCACAUAGCAUACAUAUCAAACAUAUAAUGGGCCCCACCUGGCAUCGACCCCCGCUCGAAACAGAUCUCUUAGUAAUAUGAGAUGGGCCCCACCACAUCACAUUCAUGAGGCCCCGCCUGGCAUCUGGCCCUGCGGGGUAUAUAUACAAACACAUAAACACAUGCAAGAAUCACAAAGAUAAAUAGCAUACAAUAUAGUCAUCAGGCCUCACCUUGUAUCAGCCCCCACCCGGUAUACAUAUAAACACAUAACACAUGUAAGAGUCACGCAGACAACUGGCAUCCUAAUCAUAACAAACCAUGGGUCGGACUGUUGAUCCGGAAAAAUCCCAACGCUGACACCACAAAAUAAUAUCCAAUCAAUAAUUGGGUUACAACCCAAAACUAGAAUCCUAGUCUGAUUAUCCAACACUCUGGGUAAAAGACCAUUUUACCCCCUCCUAAUGUAACGCCCCAAAUUACAACCCAAAAUUUUCUAUUAAAGUUUUUAGUAUUUAUUUAAAUCACAAAUGCAAUAUCUUAAAACAUUUAUUAAGAGUAACAUUAAAAGUUAUCAAGUACACAAGUCCCCCAUUGAUGCAAUGCAAUCGUCAGCACAAAGCUUAGUGAGUUCCCCAAAAUACCACAUACAACACAUCAUAAAUAGACAGCUAUAGGUUAUCAACAACCCUGGAGACUAUCAGCAGUCCCAGUGGCAAAUAGCAUGCUCGAUGGGUUAUCAAUAACCCUGGAGACUAUCAUGACGAGUUUUAUAUAUAGCAAACAAUCCUAUGUGUGCUUGCAACCCUAAUCGAAGGAUCUAUGUUUUCUCUAUUAGACAUAAAAGCAUUAAACACAAAUCUAGAACCCUAAGAGGCAUGUAUAAUUUUUGAAAUCAACAUAAACUAGGGUUUAAAUACAUACCUUGAUUUAUUAUGUAGUAAUAACAAUAAUCCUUGUAGAUCUUGAACUCUUGAGAGCAAGUGCCUCAAAUGUGACACAUCUAAUGGCUUACAAGCACUCUAUACAAGAGGAUGAGAGGAGAGAGGAUGAGAAGGAACAUGAAUUCGUCUCUAUUAGGGUUUGAUGGCAUAGGGGACAAAAUGCUAAGGGGUGAGGCUCUUUAUAUAGCUCUUGGUUGCUUAGUCCCAAAGCUAGGGUUUGCUGGAGAAAACCCUAAUUUCCAGCUUAGGCCCCAAGCAGCCCAUGGACUCCUUAUCAAAGAGCCUUGGACAAAAACUUAUAGGGCUUCCCUAUAAUUUCCAUCCACUCCUUUCCAAGGGGUUCAAUAGCCCAGUUUCACAACUAUCAAUAAAUUGCAAAAUAGCCCUUGCAUAUUCAAUCAGUUCCUUUAAUCCCAAAAUUAAUUCCAAAACUGAAAAUCGUAAGCAUGACUCCUUUCCUUAGAAAACAAAGUAUCUGAAACCAAAACUGAAAAUCGUAAGCACGAAGCUUAGUGAUUUCCCCCAUCAUACUACAUACUAUACCAAACACAUACUGUUAGACAAUUCUAUGGUGCCCAACCUACCCUACCAGGCAAUUCUAGGGUGCCCGACCUACCCAUGUCAGGCAAUUCUAGGGUGCUCGACCUACCUUGUCAGGCCAUUCUACGGUGCCCGACCUACCCAUGUCAAGCAUUUAUAGGGUGCUCGACCCACCCUGUCAGGCCAUUCUGGGGUGCCUGACCUAUCCUCCGGUUUAUCUCAACCGGCUACGAGGACUAUUUCACCCUUACCACUACCACAUACCAACAUAACAAAAACAUAUUGUCAGGCAUAUCUGGGGAGCCCAACCUACCAUUCGGUCCUAACGACCGUAACACUGGAACUACUCCCCUCCUACUAUCACUUGACAGAUAGCGACAUACCAGCCAAUAAUCACAAAGACAAUCAUCUCAACUAUAAUCAACUACUACUGGACCGACAUUGGUGCCUUCGACCCACUUCUAUUAGAAGGUAACUCACCUGAAAUAUUGAACUGCAUAAUAAACCAUUGAAGUGGCUAAGAUGGGUUUCCAGCUCUAUGGUCACCUAUAAACAUAUUAAUAAAAUUUUGUUUAGCUUACAUUUCAAGUACUAGUUAUUAAUAUUCCUUAAUAUUCUUUUUAUUCACAUCUACUAUUAAAUCGACAACGAUCACUUCUAAAAUCAUUCUUGCUAAAAUGUUAUACUUAAAAUGUGAUCUUCUAUAUACAAUAUCAUCUCAUCAAAUAAGUUACAAUUAAAUUCCUUCUUUAUUUAUAAAUAGCUACCGUAUGCCAAAGUCCACAAAACUAUGUGAGUUGAUUAAUUUAAUUACCAACUCAUUUAUCAUAAUAGUAAUUUAACAAUAAAUUAUGAUUAGCUAAAGACAAUGCCCAAAUCAGCCCAUAUUAGAAGUUGAUUUGCAUAAACUUGUUUUUAGUUGGAGCUAAUAGACUUAAACCCAAUUACUUAAGUCCAUAAGAAAAUAAACGGUCCAAUACAUAUAAUUUUAACCUAAUGUGACAAACUCAAAAUUGCGUAUACCUUCUUCCUGUAAGACACGCAAUGAGACCUCCCACACCAGACAAUCGAUCGAUGACGUCUUGCCCUAUGGCGAAGCUUUCGUUUCCAGCGAUGCCCUUUUCUCUGUCGAUGCCAACUAGCCCCAACAAUCACCCAAAACUUCAAACACAGUUUAAGUUGGACAUGAAUUUCAUAGCUACCCCUUUUCUUUUCUCCGCUGCUUCAUCUCUCUAAUCCUUGUCGUGAUAAGCUCACUGGAGACUGCAAUCGAUAGCUCUGCCUUACAUCUUGUUCAUCGGAAAGUAUACUUGGACAGGACAGCUCUGCUUCCAGGAAUAGCCAAAGAAACGAUCAGCAGUCCCAUCGAAAUGAAUUGAACAAUAAGUUUCUCAUCGGAGCUUGUAAUUCACUGUCGGCUUAACUCCACAUAUCAAAAUCCCUCCUAGAUGUCUUCUGGUGAAAUCCCAACGGGUCCAUCAGCGAGAGCCGGUGCUUCUUCAUUUCUCUCUCUUCCUUUACUCUUAUUUCUAGAUCCAAGAAUCAGGAUCACAAGAGGAUAACCUUCGAUGAUUGAAAGAACUCAACUUAUAUCUCCUUGUCCAAUUGUUACCUUUCUCGAAUUUUCUCCGACUCUCAUUCCAGAUGCACACAAAACACACUCACACCCACACUACUAUUUAAAUUGAGGGUGAUUCUUUGUAUUUAGAACGAUCAAGUGCAGCAACAAAAAUGAGAGAACAACUCCCUCCCUCACGCUAUGUCGCUAACAGGGGACAAAAAUGUCCAAUUUAGCAGAUAGGCACAAACAGUCCCUAUGGUUUGGUCACUUGAAAAGAUAUAACCCCACAGCCUUAAAUUCAAUUCAAUAUAAGUUUCAAAAAAAGACUAUAAGACCCUCCUAACUCCAUUCAUCAAGGUUAUCAUAAAUAUGUCAUUAUUAUUAUUACUCAUGGUUGCAGAAAUCGCUAAGCGGCCGCUAAUCGAUGGACUAGCGAUUAGGGAUUAAUCGGCUAGGCGGGGAUUAAUCGGGAGAUUAAUC
rnacentral:lncRNA from 1 species